rnacentral:lncRNA from 1 species
GAUUUUUAACAGAAGGAUUUUUGUCAUUUGUUAGAAACAUGAGACAUCUCAAUUAUUUUUCAAAGCUGAGGGUAGCGUUCAUCAAAAACGUGAGUGAAAACUUUUUGAAGAAUAUGCUAAUAGAUAAUACACACCACACAGUAUACUAACAGUUAUUUAAACCACAGAUAGCAAUUAUCAAAUCAUGAAUGAAAUGAUUUUAUCAAGUUAACUGUUAAUACAUAUCAACAGUUUUGAUCUUUUAAAAGCAGAUAACUAAUAAACUAAUUUACACCAAUUGUCAUUUAACAACACGUUUUCAACAUAUGAAUCAACAAAGCUAAUUGAUAUUAAUUGUUGACAAGGAUAUCUCAAUUGUUAACGCACAUCAACUAUUACGACUAAGCUUAUCAAAGAUUCAACAAUAAGGGAACCAAAUUAACAACANNN